AAGAGUUUUCUGGUAGGUGUGUGUUAACAUAACAACAAAAUGUAACGUUUUCACAGCUCUCUUCGACCCGUCGUCCGUUCAAAAUAACGCACACCUCGCCGCAUUAUUAACACCAAUAUUUCUCCUGUUAAUAAUAAUUAUUAUCGUUACCUGUUUAAUCAUGUUUAAAUUAACGCAAUGACCGUCACCGAUUCGGCUGCAUUCGAUUCAACGCGAAAGUCGGACACACAACACCACAAUAAUUUGUGUCUCCUCGAUGUCGCGAAUUUUAAUAUUUUUCUAGUUGAAAUACUAUACACAGCAUAGAAGUGAUGAUUGAUGUUCUACAACUUUUUCCAAUUUAUCCUACAUUAAAAUUGUUAAGAUGUAUGGAAUGACAUCUGCCAUUAGUAAUGCUUUGCCGAGUGAAAUUGACGUUCAAUUGACAAAAUCAUUAGAAGACGCAUUAACCAGUGAAAAAGUCUUCACCACCAAAGAAGAUUUAACACAAAGAUUGGAGGUAUUGUCAUUCUUAAACACGCUCGUUAAAGAAUGGAUAAAAGAUACGAGCCAAGCUCAUAAUAUACCUGAAAACGUUGGAGGAUUAGUGUGUACUUUUGGUUCUUUUAGAAUUGGUGUCUAUCAUCAAGGUGCCGAUAUCGAUACCAUUGUUAUCGUACCUCGACACAUCAACCGAAGUGACUUUUUUACUUCGUUUUAUCAAAAGUUGAAAACUCAAUCGUUUAUUACUAAUGUCAGAGCCGUCGAAGAGGCAUUUGUACCAGUCAUCAAAAUGUUGGUACAAGGAAUUGAAAUUGACAUGUUGUUUGCACGUUUAUCCUUAAAAGAAGUACCCGAAAACAUUGAUUUGCAACGUGACGAAUUACUCAGGAAUUUAGAUCCCAAAUGUGUUCGUAGUUUAAACGGAUGUCGAGUGACUGAUUCUAUCCUACGUUUAGUUCCUAAUAAAGAAGAAUUUAAAAAAACCCUUAUUGCUAUUAAGCUAUGGGCAAAACGUCAUAGGAUAUAUUCAAAUUCACUUGGAUACUUGGGCGGAGUGUCUUGGGCCAUGUUGGUGGCGAGAAUUUGCCAACUAUAUCCCAACGCUGUCGCCGCAACUCUAGUACACAAAUUUUUCUUAAUAUUUUCACGGUGGAAAUGGCCUCAGCCGGUAUUAUUACAGUCUACGUACACGACAAAUCUAGGCUAUCCGGUGUGGGAUCCCAGGAUCAACGUAGCAGACAGGGAACACGUAAUGCCGAUAAUUACACCCGUGUAUCCGAGCCAAAACUCGACGUUCAACGUGACUCGUUCCACGUUGUCGAUCAUCAAAGAAGAAUUUAAAUUAGGCCAAGACAUAAUGGGAGAGAUUUUGACUGGCGAAUCCACUUGGUCUAAACUAUUUCAACCUUCGAAAUUUUUUACCAAAUACAAGUAUUUUCUCAGUAUUGUGGUUCAUGCUAACACCGAAGAAGAACUAGUUGAGUGGCGAGGAUUUGUCGAGUCUAAGUUACGCCAUUUGUCUACGUCGUUAGAGUUUUCCAAAAUUGUCUUACGUUCUCAUAUAAACCCCGAUACUUUCACUCCGCCAUCUUCGUCGUCGCGUACAUCACACGCGUCAAUGUGGUUUGUUGGAUUAGACGUGUCACGAGCGAAAUCACAACAGGACGAUGAAUCCGUCGAUGGGUUCGUCCAAUUGGAUUUGACAAAUCAUAUUAGGGCAUUUUGUAUGCAAGUUAAGAAAAAAUCUCAAUCUACGUUUCGUCCGGGAAUGGACAUUGAAGUUAAUCAUUUGAAAAGAAAAGAACUCAAGAACUAUGUACCGGAAGAACUUAGAAGGGAAAAACAAAUUUCUUCCACUGUUGGUAGUAAACUAUUAGCACGGCUGUCUGCAGAGCGAGCGGGGAACUAAAAAAAUAUAUAUUUGAGCAUUUUUUUUUGAAAUAUAAAUUCAAUUAUUUUAUAAUAAUUUAACGAAAAACAAAGUAUACAAAUUUUAUCUUACAUUUUACAAUUUCACUUGACCAGACCCGUUUUGUGCCAAAUCUUCGUUAUUUUGAGACCAUAUACAUAUAUAUAUAUAUUUAGAUAAUAAUUAUUGUACAUUAUUGAAUUGUGUUAAUAUAUUUUAUUAAGUGUCUGUAGGUAAUAUUAAUAUUAGUACGCAACGUUUUAGAUUUUUUAAAUUUAACAAUUCUACUUUCUACUUAAUCGUCAAAGAGUCACACCGAUUUUUAAUGUUUGAAAUUACCUGACGGUCGACGGUCCAGCUUAUUUUUUUCCAUUAUAUUACUUAGAAAAUAUUGUUUAAGCGUUUUUUUUUUUUAGAAAUAUUAAAGUUAAAAAAUUCAAAUAGUUUGUUUUUUUUUUAGCACAGUAAGAAAUUAGCUAUCGAAAAUACUUGACAGUGAUUUGAUCACUUUGUAAAAUUAAUUGGGUUUUUGUAUUAAGGUUUAGUGCACACAUAUUUGAUGUAGUUUUAGACAAUAAUAUAAUUAACCGACAAUUUGUAUAGUUUAUAAUUUUUCAAGAAGUCUUGAUUUGUUCUUAUUGUGUUGAGAGUGCUGGAUGACGUUUUGGAGAUCAUUGCAAAAUAUAUUAAGAUGGACAGUGGUCACCUUGAGGGUACAUUAAAUUGGGCUGAGUGGAAAGAAAAUAAUGAAAAAAAAGGCA